rnacentral:rRNA from 1 species
AACCUCCGCAAUGUGAGAAAUCGCGACGGGGGGAUCCCAAGUGCCAUUCUUAACGGGAUGGCUUUUCAUUAGUGUAAAGAGCUUUUGGAAUAAGGGCUGGGCAAGACCGGUGCCAGCCGCCGCGGUAACACCGGCAGCUCUAGUGGUAGCAGUUUUUAUUGGGCCUAAAGCGUCCGUAGCCGGUUUAAUAAGUCUCUGGUGAAAUCCUGUAGCUUAACUGUGGGAAUUGCUGGAGAUACUAUUAGACUUGAGACUGGGAGAGGUUAGAGGUACUCCCAGGGUAGAGGUGAAAUUCUGUAAUCCUGGGAGGACCGCCUGUUGCGAAGGCGUCUAACUGGAACGGUUCUGACGGUGAGGGACGAAAGUUAGGGGCGCGAACCGGAUUAGAUACCCGGGUAGUCCUAACUGUAAACGAUGCGACUUGGUGUUGGGGUGGCUUUGAGCUGUCUCAGUGCCGAAGGGAAGCUGUUAAGUCCGCCGCCUGGGAAGUACGGUCGCAAGACUGAAACUUAAAGGAAUU